rnacentral:rRNA from 1 species
CACGUAGGGGGCAAGCGUUGUCCGGAUUUAUUGGGCGUAAAGGGUGCGUAGGCGGCGCGGUAAGUCGGGUGUGAAAUCUCGGAGCUUAACUCCGAAACUGCAUUCGAUACUGCCGUGCUUGAGGACUGGAGAGGAGACUGGAAUUUACGGUGUAGCGGUGAAAUGCGUAGAUAUCGUAAGGAAGACCAGUGGCGAAGGCGACUACCUGGCCUGUUCUUGACGCUGAGGCGCGAAAGCUAGGGGAGCGAACGGG